rnacentral:rRNA from 1 species
AGGGGAGCCGCUUCGGACCGAGACGAAGUCCCCUGGGAAGGGGCAUCAUAGAGGGUGAUANUCCCGUACAUGGCUUGGAGCGCCCGAGGCUUUGUGAUACGCUUUCUAAGAGUCGAGUUGUUUGGGAAUGCAGCUCAAAAUGGGUGGUAAAUGCCAUCUAAGGCUAAAUAUUGGGGAGAGACCGAUAGCGAACAAGUACAGUGAUGGAAAGAUGAAAAGAACUUUGAAAAGAGAGUUAAACAGUACGUGAANUUGCCAAAAGGGAAGGGUAGGAGGUCAGAGAUGCGGCCUGGGAUUCAGCCUUGCUUUUGCUUGGUGUUUUUCCCAGAUUGCAGGCC